CCCCGAGGUUAGCGGCGACGGGUGAGUAACGCGUGGGAACGUGCCCUUGGGUAAGGAACAACAGUUGGAAACGACUGCUAAUACCUUAUGACCCUCUUCUUUAGCGAUAUUGGGGAGGCAAAGAUUUAUCGCCCAGGGAUCGGCCCGCGUUGGAUUAGGUAGUUGGUGGGGUAAUGGCCUACCAAGCCGACGAUCCAUAGCUGGUUUGAGAGGAUGAUCAGCCACACUGGGACUGAGACACGGCCCAG
rnacentral:rRNA from 1 species